rnacentral:lncRNA from 1 species
ACUGUGUAACACUUUCCUUAGCACAUCUUACCCUCACCUCAGCUUCAGGAAUAACAUCGGUCCCGGUGGCUCCCAUCCACAACUCCGCAUGGCAAAGUAUUUGUUGGCCAUGACUCCGCUGGUGCUCCACAUUGAACAGGCUCUGUUUAUUCAAAAACCAGAUUCAUGAUUGAUUUCAGGAGGUGGCUAAACUCGCAAGACUUCAGCAUGCAGCCGGAGCGAACAUUCGGAUGGAGGACCAGAUUGCUAGUUUCAGGUUUCAACUAUCAUCUUCCAUAAAAAUUCCCAUCACCAUUUAUGACUGUACAAGUUGCGAAGGUUUCAAGCAGACUUCAAACUAUAUAUGCACUUACUUUAAACCACAGUUGGGGAAAACUACGAGCAGAGCUCAGCUUCAUCACAAUGUGGUAAGGGAGCCCAAGCAGGAAAGCCAUCAUCCAACAACUAGGUCCAUCAUAAUAUCCCUUUUGCCCUUAGAAACUCGGAUUCUAUGACUCCAGUCUU